rnacentral:rRNA from 1 species
CCUGCCCACUGAAAUUUUUAAUGGCCGCAGUAAUUUGACUGUGCAAAGGUAGCAUAAUCAUUAGUUUUUUAAUUAAAAGCUUGUAUGAAUGGUUGGACGAGGUAAAUUCUGUCUUUAUUUAAAUAAUAUUAGAAUUUAAUUUUUAAGUUAAAAAGCUUAAAUAAAUAUAAAAGACGAGAAGACCCUAUAGAUCUUUAUAUUAUUAUUUUAUAAUUUUAAUAAAGAAUUUUUAAUUUUUUAUAUUUUAUAAUAUUUUAUUGGGGUAAUAAAAAGAUUUAAUAAAUUCUUUUUUAUAUUUUACAUUAAUUUAUGAAUAUAUGAUCCAAAAUUUUUGAUUAUAAGAUUAAGUUACCUUAGGGAUAACAGCGUAAUUUUUUUAGAGAGUUCAUAUCGAUAAAAAAGUUUGCGACCUCGAUGUUGGAUUAAAAAUUGUUUUAGGCGCAGAAGUUUAAAAAUUUGGUCUGUUCGACCAUUAAAUUUUUACAUGAUCUGAGUUCAGACCGGUGUAAGCCAGGUCGGUUUCUAUCUUUAUAAUUUUAUAAUAUUUUAGUACGAAAGGACCAAAUAUUUAAUAUAUUAAUAUUUUUAUUUUUGAAUAUUAUU